rnacentral:lncRNA from 1 species
AACGGGGCCAGAACCUCAAACCCGAGCCCGGCCCAGGAAAAACCCGGGGCAGAGGCGAGGGAACCAGCCCAACGGGUCCCGGCCGCACCCAGCCGCACGCAAACCCCCCUGCGUCCCGCCCAGCCCCGCAGCCCCCCCCCGGCAGCCCCGCAGCAUGGGACACGCACGCCUCCAGGGCCCCCCCCGAGUCACCACCCCGGGGGUCGCCUCCCCGCGGCCUUUGCCACAGGACCCGCGCCCCUUUUCCUCUUCCUCUCGCUGCCACCGCGGAGCGCCGAGACCCCGGGGGGCCCUCAGACACCCGGUCCCCACCGACGGGGCCGUGCCGGGCACCGUGACUCAGCACCGAUAAGCAGCACGCGCCGGGGGGGGCAGAUUUGGGCCCCCAGCCCGGCUCCCCCCCAUGCCCACCCGGCUCAAGGCCCUGCCACCAGCUCGGCGGGGACCCCGCGGGGUGCCCAGCAGGGCACGGGGAGCGGGGCUUCAGGGUGGGGUCCCCACGUCCCCGUGGCUGCCCAGGGUCUGGAAGGGCUCUCCCCUCCCAGAAGAGCCUGGGAAUUGACACCAGCUUGGCACGGCACGGCUCGGUACAGCAUGGCACGGCUCGGUACAGCAUGGCACGGCACGGCACGGCACAGCUCGGUACGGCACGGCCCAGAUCACAGGGCCGCGCACCCAGGCUCGCCGCCCCCCACCCAGCUCACCCCAGCCACGAGUCUGUAGGGUCUCAGCACCGCAGCUGCCCUCUCUGCCCCCACACAGCCCCGUCUCGGGGGGGGGCGCCGGGCGCGCGUGACGGAUGUGACCUCCUGUCCCCGAGCCGCGGGGAGCCGCGCGCCCCUGCGCAGCGCAGAGCUGGUCCCCAGCACCCCACAGUGCCCGGCGCCACCCCGUACGGCCCAGCGCCCCCCUGCUGAGGGGGUCCCCAGGGGACACCCCACGCAGUGCCCAGGAGGCCACCGAGGUGUCACAGCGCGGCGUCCCCCGCCUGGCUCACCCCAAACCUCGCCCCAUUCCCCCCACGCUCGGUGGGCAGCAGGGACAGAUCCGGGGGGGGUCCCAACGGCAGCACGGGCCCUGCUGCGGGGUCCCUUCCCCAGGAGCCCCCACCUCGGCGGGUCCCUGCCCCCAGGACCCCGCUGUCCCCCCCCCGUGCCAAGCGGGCACGCUCGGCAGGACUUUGCCCUGGCCAUCCGGAUCCACAGGUUGCCUCGCAACCGGCUGGCAGCCCCCUUCCCACGGGGCCGGGUCACCAC